rnacentral:lncRNA from 1 species
GAGACGGAGUUUCACUCGUACUGCUGCCCAGGCUAUAUAGUGCAAUGGCACCAUCUUGGCUCACCACAACCUCCGCCUCCCAGGUUCAAGCGAUUCUCCUGCCUCAGCCUCCCGAGUAGCUUGGAUUACAGGCAUGCACCGCCACGCCCAGCUAAUUUUGUAUUUUUAGUAAAGAUGGAGUUUCUCCAUGUUGGUCGGGCUGGUCUCAAACUCCCGACCUCAGGUGAUCCUCCCGCCUCGGCCUCCCAAAGUGCUGGGAUUACAGGCAUGAGCCAUGGCACCCGGCCAGGCUGAGAAUUCUUAAGACAGGAUUUUUUAAGGAUAGUUUGGUAAGCAUGGGGCUAGGGGAUGGGUUGAUGUGUUGGGUACUAUGGGGAACGUGGAAGUGGAGAAUAGUGUGGACUUUUGAAAGGAUGUCUGCCUAGGAGUGGAGUUGGGCAUGAGGGCAGGACUAAAAAAGAGUGAGUGAAGGAAAAGGUAUGCAGGGAGCAGAAGAGUGGAGGGGUGGCUCGGGGUUUGGAGACUUGCCCGUCAAUUCCCACAACAGAGACUUGGGAGGACUGGGUGGGUCCUGAAAAAUUAGGUAAAGCAGAGUAGGUUGCCCGGUAUUAAAUAAGAAAAAAUACUGGCCUACCUGCCACCAUCAGGGUUACCCUUGUCUUAGAUGAAGCAAUGGUAGUUGCCGGGGCGUCCAUUCCAGGGCCCCAUCAGUCUUCAGUGGCAAGGCCAGUGAGAUCCGAGUAGGAGGUUUUGGCCAGCUCAGGAAGGGAUGGGAGUGGUCCUUGUGGGGGCCGCUCACAGUCCAACUUCCAGUGGGGUCCUCUGCAGAGGGGGCAUGGCCUGAUGGGCUUACCUGGGUUUGGGCAUUGUCUAGACCAGUGGCCUUCAUUGCCAUACUUGAAACAUGCGCCAGGUGGAGGUGGAUUGCUAGGAGGCUUCUGUGUGGAGCUGCGGCCCUGUGGGCCUGCAGGGCCCCGGAUGGCGGAGUCAAGCAUUUGAAACUCUGCAUGUUUUUGCCUUUUAUUUUCCUCAUCACGAUUGUUAAAGACUUUGAAGGCUAAAUUAAGAAGGUCUCGUUGUGGGUUUUGAGAGCCAUCAUCAAGCUUCUGUAGCUUACGCCGAAUAUCGGGGUGGAUUGGGACAUGAACUAAAGGUUUAAAAUAGUGGUUCCUUCUGGGCUGGUUGGGUCUAGGUUGGUAUAUUUUCUCAUGACUUCAGUUAAACAAGAGAGAAAAAGGGCUGUUUUUUCGUCAGGAUCUUGGGGGAUUUCUGAAAGUUUUUCAUAGUUUAUCGCUUUAUGGGCACCCUUUUUGAGUCCUGCAAGGAGACACAAUUGUGGUCUCAAUGGUAGCGUCCAGAGGCCCUGUCUUGAUAAUCCCAGUGGGGGUCCUGGUUGGGGACUGCCUGUGCGCCAGUAGGCUGGGCAGGAGCUUGGUGAUAAAUUGAUCAGCAUGCCCCUGAGCUAGGGUCCAGAUAUGGUCCCGGUCUUCUGGGGUGAGGGUGGAAGAGAGGAUAACGUAGAGGAUAUGCCAGAUUAGUUCAUAAGACUGGGUAAGGUACUGAAACUCCCUAAUAUAAGAGGUCAGGUCUUCUGGAAAUGAACCCAGUCUUUUGUUAAUUUGAGAGAAAUCAGUGAGGGAGAAGGGAACAUGAACUCUAACAAUACCUUCAGUUCCUGCUACUUCCUGAAGAGGGCACUCUAGCACAGGCACUAAAGUAAGGGUGGGGCAUGGCCAAACAUGGCACCUGAACAAGUGUGGAUGGGAGAGAAGGAAGAACCUGGAAGUGGUUCCUGCUGAGUGUUUGAAGGGGAAAGGGGGAUUGAGUUAACAGGUAGUGGAGGAUAGAUAGGGGCGUAAGGUGGUGGGAUGGGUUUACAAGCCUCAGGAGAAGGCAGUAGGGGAGGAGAAUGGGUACAGGCAAUACUAGAAUUGUCCUGAGGAGGGGGCGGUGUAGGAAAAGAAGCAGAUACUGCUGACUGGGAAGAUGGUGGCUGGGAAGAUGGCGGUUGAGAAGACAACGAGGAGGCUUGGGCUAAAGAAGACGAUUGAGAGGAAGAGGUAGGGGUUGGGAGGGGUGGACAGCAGUCUGCUGGAUCUAACGAGGAAAAAGAGGUAGGGUUGGGAGGAGAAAGACAAUCAGGGUGGCAAGAAUGGAGGAGAAGGAUUUGAACAGGUGAGCAAGAAUUGCAGAGGUCGGGUUGUGAUCUGAGUGCAAAAAGGCCUGGACAUAAGGAAUUUCUCCCCAUUUCUCUAGUCGUUGUCAAUAAUUGCUUAACUCAGUUAAAACUGUAAAGUCGAAUGUUCCAUUUGCGGGCCAUUUGGACCCAUUAUCCAAUUCGUAUUGUGGCCAGACUGAAUUGCAAAAAAAGACAAGGCGCUUAGGGUGGAUAUUUUGCCUGAGGCCUAAGGUUUGCAGGUUUUUUAUGGGGCAGCCUAGAGGGCUGUUUUUUGGAAGGGAGGACCGGGAGUUUCCCAUAACAGAGGGUAGGCUCAGGAGAACAGGGAAAAAGGAGACCGUCCUGGACGGCCAGAGGGAGACAAAAGGAGCAAUCAUCAUCACCGCUGCCUUUUUCAUUCCUGGAACGGGAUCAAAUGGAUUAGAGGCGUCUCCCUAAGACCAGGUGAUGGGAUGAUCAGCGAGUACCUGGCACACGCCGGAGCCUUGCUGGACCGACAUUGGAUUUUUGGACCGUAGACACCAAGAGAGGCCAUGUGGCUUUUCCCUUGUUAACUGGGCUCCUAGGGAAACUUACCAAUAGGCAAGGCCAGUGACCAAUGUGCAUGCACAGAGAGGCAACUGGAGGCUGAGGAGCUUCCUUUGUCCUGCUGCUGUGGCCUGUUCUCCAGGGUGGAGGGGUAGGUCCAUGGGGGAUGUGGACCAGAGCCCCUCCCCGGUUUCGGCACUAGAUGUAAGGUUCUUGUGUUGGUUCAAACCCUGAGAGCACGCCAAAAGACAACACGAAGUGGUGUGGAGCAGCAACAUGCUGUUUUAAUGAGCACAGUGUUUUUCUAGAUAUUGUUAACCAAGAUAAGGAAUCCCUAAAGAGAGGCAGGCUUGAUUUAGAGCUGUCUGAGGGCUUCCAAAAGAGCUGUUCAGUGAAUAAGAAGGAAUCCAACCAUGGAGCAUCAGAGUCUAAGUUGGAUGUAUAGGUUUGUGUGUCUUCAGUAUUGUCUUGUAUUUUAAGACAGAAUUAGAUGUGCCCAUCAGAAAUGAGUGUAUGGCAUGAAAAAGUUGCAGAUGACACAGUAACAGUCUGAUCUCUCUUUCUUUCCCCCACAAUGCUUGUUUGAGGACAUGUAUUAUCACCAGAGAGGACUUGAAACUGCAUAACAAACCGUACUUGCCAGACAUUUCCUAAUCACCUUCUCACUGUUUACUCCCUCCCCCUAUAAUCGAUAAUCGCAAAGCUUCCUUUCCCUUUGACUAUUCUAUUCUCUUCACAAUUUAUCACCCCUUGUUAAAUGGUAUAUAAGCCCCCAGCCCUAAACUCCUACUUGGGUUUUCACUUCUCUUUUGUGAAGCCUCAUUAUGUAUGCAAAAUAAAAUUUUUCUACUGU